GGGGCAGCUACCAUGCAGUCCGAGCGGUAGAGAGAAGCUUGCUUCUCUUGAGAGCGGCGGACGGGUGAGUAAUGCCUAGGAAUCUGCCUGGUAGUGGGGGAUAACGUUCGGAAACGGACGCUAAUACCGCAUACGUCCUACGGGAGAAAGCAGGGGACCUUCGGGCCUUGCGCUAUCAGAUGAGCCUAGGUCGGAUUAGCUAGUUGGUGAGGUAAUGGCUCACCAAGGCGACGAUCCGUAACUGGUCUGAGAGGAUGAUCAGUCACACUGGAACUGAGACACGGUCCAGACUCCUACGGGAGGCAGCAGUGGGGAAUAUUGGACAAUGGGCGAAAGCCUGAUCCAGCCAUGCCGCGUGUGUGAAGAAGGUCUUCGGAUUGUAAAGCACUUUAAGUUGGGAGGAAGGGUUGUAGAUUAAUACUCUGCAAUUUUGACGUUACCGACAGAAUAAGCACCGGCUAACUCUGUGCCAGCAGCCGCGGUAAUACAGAGGGUGCAAGCGUUAAUCGGAAUUACUGGGCGUAAAGCGCGCGUAGGUGGUUUGUUAAGUUGGAUGUGAAAUCCCCGGGCUCAACCUGGGAACUGCAUUCAAAACUGACUGACUAGAGUAUGGUAGAGGGGGGGGUGGGAAUUUCCUGGUGUAGCGUA
rnacentral:rRNA from 1 species